rnacentral:rRNA from 1 species
UACGUAGGGGGCAAGCGUUGUCCGGAUUUAUUGGGCGUAAAGAGCGUGUAGGCGGUUAUACAGGUCCGCUGUGAAAACUGGAGGCUUAACUGUGGAACGGCUGGGCAUACUGGCGGUCUUGAGCCAUCUAGGGGCGACUGGAACAAACGGUGGAGCGGUGAAAUGCGUAGAUAUCGUUUGGAACGCCAAUGGUGAAAACAGGUCGCUGGGGAUGAGCUGACGCUGAGACACGAAAGCCAGGGGAGCAAACGGG